rnacentral:rRNA from 1 species
GGAGGUUGCAAGCGUUGUUCGGAAUAACUGGGCGUAAAGGGAGCGCAGGCGGUUUGAUCAGUCUGGAGUGGAAGCCCGGGGCUCAACCCCGGAAGGCCUUUGGAUACUGUCAAACUUGAGUUCGUGAGAGGAGAGUGGAAUUCCAGGUGUAGCGGUGAAAUGCGUAGAUAUCUGGAGGAACAUCGAUGGCGAAAGCAACUCUCUGGCACGAUACUGACGCUGAGGCUCGAAAGCGUGGGGGAGCGAACAGGAUUAGAUACCCUGGUAGUCCACGCCGUAAACGUUGUGCACUAGGUGUAGGAGGUAUCGACCCCCCCCUUCUGUGCCGCAGCUAACGCAUUAAGUGCACCGCCUGGGAGUACGCUCGCAAGAGUG